AUUUCGAUAGCUCAAAUAAGAGCUUUACAUUGAAGCUGUGAAGGUAGUUUAACUUCGUAAUA
rnacentral:tRNA from 1 species